rnacentral:rRNA from 1 species
UGGGGAAUAUUGGACAAUGGGCGAAAGCCUGAUCCAGCAAUGCCGCGUGAGUGAUGAAGGCCUUAGGGUUGUAAAGCUCUUUUACCAGGGAUGAUAAUGACAGUACCUGGAGAAUAAGCUCCGGCUAACUCCGUGCCAGCAGCCGCGGUAAUACGGAGGGAGCUAGCGUUGUUCGGAAUUACUGGGCGUAAAGCGUACGUAGGCGGUUAUUCAAGUCAGAGGUGAAAGCCCGGGGCUCAACCCCGGAACGGCCUUUGAAACUAGAUAGCUAGAAUCUUGGAGAGGUCAGUGGAAUUCCGAGUGUAGAGGUGAAAUUCGUAGAUAUUCGGAAGAACACCAGUGGCGAAGGCGACUGACUGGACAAGUAUUGACGCUGAGGUACGAAAGCGUGGGGAGCAAACAGGAUUAGAUACCCUAGUAGUCCCUGAGCGGGCUGGCAAGGCGCAU